rnacentral:lncRNA from 14 species
AUCAGGCACAAUCCCUAGCACAGAAGAAGAAAUGACAGUGUUUUAAAGUUGCUGUUGAAUGUGGCAUGAUUCCAGGUUUGUGUUCCACGUCUUUUUCACUGUCUGUGGAGUGAUCUUCAUCACAGAGGCUUUGAGCAACCUGGUCUAGUGGAAGGUGUCCCUGGCCAUGGCAGAGGGUUGGAACUUGAUGAUCUUAAGGAUCUUUCCAACACAAACCAUUCUAUGAUUCAUUAGUCCUUUGUAUCCUUAAGAAAGCAGCACAAAGGCAAACGGACCCUGACAGGA